rnacentral:rRNA from 1 species
UACGAAGGGGGCUAGCGUUGCUCGGAACCACUGGGCGUAAAGCGCACGUAGGCGGCUUUCUAAGUCAGGGGUGAAAUCCUGGAGCUCAACUCCAGAACUGCCUUUGAUACUGGAGAGCUUGAGUCCGGAAGAGGUGAGUGGAACUCCGAGUGUAGAGGUGAAAUUCGUAGAUAUUCGGAAGAACACCAGUGGCGAAGGCGGCUCACUGGUCCGGUACUGACGCUGAUGUGCGAAAGCGUGGGGAGCAAACAGG